UACAGAGGUCUCAAGCGUUGUUCGGAUUCAUUGGGCGUAAAGGGUGCGUAGGCGGCGCGGUAAGUCGGGUGUGAAAUCUUGGAGCUUAACUCCGAAACUGCAUUCGAUACUGCCGUGCUUGAGGACUGGAGAGGAGACUGGAAUUUACGGUGUAGCGGUUAAAUGCGUAGAUAUCGUAAGGAAGACCAGUGGCGAAGGCGGGUCUCUGGACAGUUCCUGACGCUGAGCCACGAAGGCCAGGGGAGCAAACGGG
rnacentral:rRNA from 1 species